rnacentral:rRNA from 1 species
AAUUCCUUCAAUAAUUGCAGAGAGUGCAGGUCCAUGUGACUCACCUGCUGUAAGCCAUCUAAGCAUUUCUCCUCCUGAUUUAUAGGCACUUAUUCUCUCAGACCUAAGAGAAUCCAUGUCGGCAAUUUUGCUACCAAGUCAUACAAAUCUAACUAAAUAUGUUCCAAAAAUCAUAAAAGGUGCGAAGGGAAGUGCUUUGACUCUGCAGAUCAAUGCAAAAAAUCCGCCAAUUAUCCAUGCGAUGCAGAUUGAAGAGAGCAGCUCCUCUAAGCUGUCGAAGAAUAGCGCCAAAAUGAAUGACAGCUUCACAUCUCCAGCACCUAUUCGACCUCCUGAUAUCAAAUUCAAAAAAAGGUACAGGAAAACUCCUAAGAGUGCCAUCCCAAUAUUCUUUGAAUAUCUAAAUAACAUAAUCGCAAAUAGGAUCAACAGGUCAAUAUUUCUAAUUUGAUGAUUCCUAAAAUCGUAUAUGGAUAUCCAUGCAAGUACGGCAAAGAGUAAAAUUUCUUGGAGCAUUCAAUAAAUUUUAAAGGUUAUUUAAAGACCUUUUUCAGCCUGUGGACUAUUUUUGAAUGGCUUGAUAGCCAACCUUUAGUAACUUCUCGCGCAUCUCAUCAAUAUCAAAUUCAGUUUGCGAAAAAUACUUGAUCUGGAAUAAAGCCUGCUAUCGUGACUGGGAAACAAAAAAUUAGGGGAUGACGUGUGGAUAGGGGUGAAAGGCUAAUCAAGCCGGGAGAUAUCUGGUUCUCCUCGAAAGCUAUUUAGGUAGCGCCUCGAGCGAAUACCAUUGGGGGUAGAGCACUGUUAAGGCUAGGGGGUCAUCCCGACUUACCAACCCUUUGCAAACUCCGAAUACCAAUGAGUACUACUCGGGAGACACACGACGGGUGCUAACGUCCGCCGUGAAAAGGGAAACAACCCAGACCACCAGCUAAGGUCCCAAAGUCAUGGUUAAGUGGAAAACGAUGUGGGAAGGCAUAGACAGCUAGGAGGUUGGCUUAGAAGCAGCCACCCUUUAAAGAAAGCGUAAUAGCUCACUAGUCGAGUCGGCCUGCGCGGAAGAUGUAACGGGGCUCAAACCAUGCACCGAAGCUGUGGACUUGCAUUAUGUGCAAGUGGUAGAGGAGCGUUCUGUAAGCCUGCGAAGGCAGAUUGUGAAGUCUGCUGGAGGUAUCAGAAGUGCGAAUGCUGACAUAAGUAACGAUAAGGGGAGUGAAAAACUCCCCCGCCGGAAGACCAAGGGUUCCUAUCCCAUGCUAAUCAGGGUAGGGUAAGUCGGCCCCUAAGGCGAGGGCGAAAGCCGUAGUCGAUGGGAAACGGGUUAAUAUUCCCGUACCGACAGUACUGCGAUGGGGGGACGGAGAAAGCUAGGCAAGCAUGGCGUUGGUAGUCCAUGUGAAAGUACGUAGGCAGGGGGAUUAGGCAAAUCCGGUUCCCUAAUGCUGAGAUACGAGACGAGCCACUAAGGUGGUGAAGUUGCUGAUGCUACGCUUCCAGGAAAAGCCUCUAAGCUUCAGGUACUGUUGACCGUACUCGAAACCGACACAGGUGGUCAGGUAGAGAAUACCAAGGCGCUUGAGAGAACUCUGGUGAAGGAACUAGGCAAAAUAGUACCGUAACUUCGGGAGAAGGUACGCUCUCUAGUGUGAAGGACUUGCUCCGUAAGCAUUGGAGAGUCGCAGUGACCAGCUGGCUGCAACUGUUUAUUAAAAACACAGCACUCUGCAAACUCGAGAGAGGACGUAUAGGGUGUGACACCUGCCCGGUGCCGGAAGGUUAAUUGAUGGGGUUAGCGCAAGCGAAGCUCUUGAUCGAAGCCCCGGUAAACGGCGGCCGUAACUAUAACGGUCCUAAGGUAGCGAAAUUCCUUGUCGGGUAAGUUCCGACCUGCACGAAUGGUGUAAUGAUGGCCAGGCUGUCUCCACCAGAGACUCAGUGAAAUUGAAAUUGCGGUGAAGAUGCCGUAUACCCGCGGCUAGACGGAAAGACCCCGUGAACCUUUACUAUAGCUUGGCACUGAACAUUGACCCUACAUGUGUAGGAUAGGUGGGAGGCUUUGAAGCGGGAACGCCAGUUCUCGUGGAGCCGUCCUUGAAAUACCACCCUUGUAUGUUUGAUGUUCUAACG